GGCCUGGUGGUCUAGUAGUAUGAUUCCUUCUUAGGGCAGAGGUCAUUUGGAGGAGGUCCCGGGUUCAAUUCCCGGCCAGGCCC